rnacentral:rRNA from 1 species
UACGUAGGGGGCAAGCGUUGUCCGGAAUCAUUGGGCGUAAAGAGCGUGUAGGCGGCCCGGUAAGUCCGCUGUGAAAGUCCAGGGCUCAACCCUGGGAUGCCGGUGGAUACUGUCGGGCUCGAGUCCGGAAGAGGCGAGUGGAAUUCCUGGUGUAGCGGUGAAAUGCGCAGAUAUCAGGAAGAACACCUAUGGCGAAGGCAGCUCUCUGGGACGGGACUGACGCUGAGACGCGAAAGCGUGGGGAGCGAACAGG